UACGUAGGGUGCAAGCGUUGUCCGGAAUUACUGGGCGUAAAGAGCUCGUAGGCGGUUUGUCGCGUCUGCCGUGAAAGUCCGGGGCUCAACUCCGGAUCUGCGGUGGGUACGGGCAGACUAGAGUGAUGUAGGGGAGACUGGAAUUCCUGGUGUAGCGGUGAAAUGCGCAGAUAUCAGGAGGAACACCGGUGGCGAAGGCGGGUCUCUGGGCCGAAACUGACGCUGAGGAGCGAAAGCGUGGGGAGCAAACAGG
rnacentral:rRNA from 1 species